rnacentral:rRNA from 1 species
CGCGUAGGCGGCGUGACAAGUCACUUGUGAAAUCUCCGGGCUUAACCCGGAGCGGCCAAGUGAUACUGUCGUGCUAGAGUGCGGAAGGGGCAACUGGAAUUCUCGGUGUAGCGGUGAAAUGCGUAGAUAUCGAGAGGAACACCUGCGGCGAAGGCGGGUUGCUGGGCCGACACUGACGCUGAGGCGCGAAAGCCAGGGGAGCGAACG